rnacentral:rRNA from 1 species
ACGUAGGGGGCGAGCGUUGUUCGGAAUUACUGGGCGUAAAGGGCAUGUAGGCGGUUUUGUAAGUCUGGCGUGAAAGACCACAGCUUAACUGUGGGAUUUCGUUGGAAACUGGAUGACUUGAGUGACGGAGAGGGAACUGGAAUUCCUAGUGUAGGGGUGAAAUGCGUAGAGAUUAGGAGGAACACCAGUGGCGAAGGCGACUUACUGGACUAUAACUGACGCUGAGGCGCGAAAGUGUGGGGAGCAAACAG